UACAGAGGUGGCGAGCGUUGUUCGGAUUUACUGGGCGUAAAGGGUGCGUAGGUGGCUUCGUGUGUCGGGCGUAAAAUCCCACCGCUCAACGGUGGAACGCCGCCCGAAACUGCGAGGCUGGAGUGCAGGAGAGGAGAGCGGAAUUCUUGGUGUAGCGGUGGAAUGCGUUGAUAUCAAGAAGAACACCAGUGGCGUAGGCGGCUCUCUGGAAUGCAACUGACACUGAGGCACGAAAGCGUGGGGAGCAAACAGG
rnacentral:rRNA from 1 species